rnacentral:tRNA from 2 species
GCCGAUGUAGCACAGGGGUAGUGCAGCCGAUUCGUAAUCGGCAGGUCGAGAGUUCAAAUCUCUUCAUCGGCU